GUGCUUGUCUCGGCAGCACAGAUACUAAAAAAUUGGAACCAUAUAGAGAAGACUAGCAUGGUCCCUGCACAAGGAUGACACGCAAAUUCGUGAAGUGUUCCAUAUUAAA